rnacentral:rRNA from 1 species
UAUACCUACGGGAGGCAGCAGUGGGGAAUAUUGGGCAAUGGGCGCAAGCCUGACCCAGCAACGCCGCGUGCGGGAUGGAGGCCUUCGGGUUGUAAACCGCUUUUGUUCAAGGGCAAGGCACGGUCUUUGGCCGUGUUGAGUGGAUUGUUCGAAUAAGCACCGGCUAACUACGUGCCAGCAGCCGCGGUAAUACGUAGGGUGCAAGCGUUAUCCGGAUUUAUUGGGCGUAAAGGGCUCGUAGGCGGUUCGUCGCGUCCGGUGUGAAAGUCCAUCGCUUAACGGUGGAUCCGCGCCGGGUACGGGCG